GACGAACGCUGGCGGCGUGCUUAACACAUGCAAGUCGAACGAUGAACCCGGAGCUUGCUCCGGUGGAUUAGUGGCGAACGGGUGAGUAACACGUGAGUAACCUGCCCUUGACUCUGGGAUAACUGCGGGAAACUGUAGCUAAUACCGGAUACGACCCUCGGCGGCAUCGCCAGGGGGUGGAAAGAAUUUCGGUCAAGGAUGGACUCGCGGCCUAUCAGCUUGUUGGUGAGGUAAUGGCUCACCAAGGCGACGACGGGUAGCCGGCCUGAGAGGGUGACCGGCCACACUGGGACUGAGACACGGCCCAGACUCCUACGGGAGGCAGCAGUGGGGAAUAUUGCACAAUGGGCGCAAGCCUGAUGCAGCGACGCCGCGUGAGGGAUGACGGCCUUCGGGUUGUAAACCUCUUUCAGCAUCGACGAAGCGAAAGUGACGGUAGGUGCAGAAGAAGGACCGGCCAACUACGUGCCAGCCGCCGCCGUAA
rnacentral:rRNA from 1 species